CACGUAGGGCGCAAGCGUUGUCCGGAAUUAUUGGGCGUAAAGAGCUCGUAGGCGGUCUGUUGCGUCCGCUGUGAAAACUCGGGGCUUAACCCCGAGCCUGCAGUGGAUACGGGCAGACUAGAGGUAGGUAGGGGGAGAAUGGAAUUCCCGGUGUAGCGGUGAAAUGCGCAGAUAUCGGGAGGAACACCGGUGGCGAAGGCG
rnacentral:rRNA from 1 species